rnacentral:tRNA from 1 species
GGGAAUGUAGCUCAGUGAUGCUGAGCCUGCCUGGCAAACGCAAGGUCCUGAGUUCAAUCCUCAGUACUGCCA